GGAGUUGGUCAGGUAAUCGCUGCUUCGUUGGUAACCUUCGGGAAAUCAAUGGAGGGGAGGAAAGUCCGGGCUCCACAGGGCAGGGUGCCAGAUAACGUCUGGGGGGGCGCAAGCCCACGACAAGUGCAGCAGAGAGCAAACCGCCGAUGGCCCAUUGCUUGCAAUGGUGCACAGGUAAGGGUGAAAGGGUGCGGUAAGAGCGCACCGCGCGGCUAGUAAUAGUUUGUGGCAGGGUAAACUCCACCCGGAGCAAGACCAAAUAGGUCCCUAAUGGCGCGGCCCGCGUUGGGGACGGGUAGGUUGCUUGAGUCUGUGAGUGAUUGCAGACCUAGACGAAUGAUUGCCGCCGCGAAAGCGGAACAAAACCCGGCUUAUCGACCGACUCCCUAC
rnacentral:RNase_P_RNA from 1 species